rnacentral:rRNA from 1 species
UACGUAGGGUGCAAGCGUUGUCCGGAAUUAUUGGGCGUAAAGAGCUCGUAGGCGGUCUGUCGCGUCGGCUGUGAAAACCCGGAGCUCAACUCCGGGCCUGCAGUCGAUACGGGCGGGCUAGAAUUCGGUAGGGGAGACUGGAAUUCCUGGUGUAGCGGUGAAAUGCGCAGAUAUCAGGAGGAACACCGGUGGCGAAGGCGGGUCUCUGGGCCGAUAUUGACGCUGAGGAGCGAAAGCGUGGGGAGCGAACAGG